rnacentral:rRNA from 1 species
AGUGAACGCUGGCGGUAGGCCUAACACAUGCAAGUCGAACGGCAGCACAGUAAUAGCUUGCUCUUACGGGUUGCGAGUCGCGUACGUGUGAGGAAUACAUCGUAAUCUACUUUUUCGUGUGACAUAACGUAGGUAAACUUACUCUAAUACCGCAUACGACCUACGGGUGAGAGCAUUGGAUCUUCUGACCUUUCGCGAUUGGAUUAGCCGAUGUCGGAUUAGCUAGUUGGCGGGGUAAAGGCCCACCAAGGCGACGAUCCGUAGCUGGUCUGAGAGGAGGAUAAGCCACACUGGAACGGAGACAGGGUCAAGACGACUAAGGGAGGCAGCAGUGGGGAAUAGUGGACAAUGGGCGGAAGCAUGACACAGCCAGACCGAGUGGGUGAAGAAGGCGUUGGGGUUGGAAAGACCUUUUGUUGGGAAAGAAAAGCAGUAGGUUAAGACGAAGCUGUUGUGACGGUAACCAAAGAAUAAGCACCGGCUAACUUCGUG